rnacentral:lncRNA from 1 species
UCCUCCUGUUUCCACAUGCCUAUCCCAGUGCUGGGGUUACAGAGAUGUGAGGUGUACUAUCACACCCAGCUUUUUACACAGGAGUCUGAACGCAGGUGCUCUUGCUUGUGUGACAAAUACUUAGUAACUGAAACAACUCCCCAGGUCCCAAAUACAGCUUUUGACAGUGCAAAAGGCUAGGGGCUGAACCAUAGUCUGGGAGAUUCUUUUUUUUUUAAUAUUUUUUAUUACAUAUUUUCCUCAAUUACAUUUCCAAUGCUAUCCCAAAAGUCCCCCAUACCCUCCCCCCCCCCACUUCCCUACCCACCCAUUCCCAUAUUUUUGGCCCUGGCGUUCCCCUGUACUGGAGCAUAUACAGUUUGCGUGUCCAAUGGGCCUCUCUUUAGUCUGGGAGAUUCUAUUCAUGCUAGAAUAAUAAUGCACUGUUUAUGGGCAUGUGUCCUAUGCUGGGCAUUACUGGGGGUUAAAAUGCCUAGCAACUCUGCAAUGAAGUCUCUACAAACUGAGGUGAGUGCAAGUGUAGUUAAUGCAGAAUUGUGAAAUGCAUCAAUGAUGCAAAGAAAACUGAUUGUUUUCUUCACCCCAAUUUUCUUUCUAAAAGCCAAAAAAUGUUAAAUUGUAGCAAAUAUACUCAUUCUUUGUUAAAGGAUUAUAGAGAAGCACGGAGCAGUUUUUAAGGCCGUUACUAACAGUUUCCAAACCUUCAAUGUGUCAAUGGAACCUCUCCAUUCUGUUUCCUCAAAGAGCUUCAGUUAAAUCAGUAGACUAGAAUAUGGGUGUUGUCAUUUCUCAUUUAUACUUUGUGCAAGGUGCCAAGAUGCAUCGAGGAAGCUGGCUGCAGUCAUCAGCAAAAAGAAAAGGAAGAAUUCUAAACGAGGGGCCACUAAUUCCCUCCGCCUGCAGGAUGGAUGCACUAUGAAUCCCUAUGGCUGGCUCAGGAGCUCUGCUUCGAUUAGUACCGCGAACAGCAGUUAGCAUUGUUUGCUGUGUGCUAGGCCCUGUUCUCAUUCUUUGUGUGUAUUAGCUCAUUUACUUUGAUUGUUCCAUUUUACUGAGGGAAAUGACACCCAGAGACUGAACAACCCAUCCAUGGUUAUUCAAGCUUAGAUUUAAACCCAGGCUUACUGGCUCUAGAAUCUUCUUUCUAAACCGUCAUGCUCUACUGAGCAGCAUAGAAAGGACUGAGCAGGUCUGCAAUAGAGCCCGAUGCUUAAGGGUCACUUCUAGCCAGGGAAUAUUUGAGGAACAUGAAGCUUUAUUCUUACCACCCCACAGCUGUCAGCAGGCUCAACUGAUUUGAUUAAACCCUCCUUGAACAGAUUUGAUUCUAAUAAUGGGCUCCUCAACUGCACAAGUAAGAAAUUUCAUUUCCAAUGAUAUUUUUCAAGGAGAACUAAAGAAGACUACUAUUAGACUGACAACAGAAUUUCUGGAUCUUGAGAGAUUGUUCGGGAACCCUGCAUGGAAGCAGUUGUAUGGACAUGUGACCAGCAGUUAUGUGCAAAUACAAACAUGUUUUUUCAUUUCCCUUUUUGGAGAGGUUAGGAAAAAACAAACUUUAACUGGAUAGAAACUUCUGUCUUUAAACAGAUUCCAAGAGAGAAAGAGAAGACAAAAUCCUAAGCAGAGCUGCAUCUGUGGACUAAGGGGACGUGGAAGUCAAAGGCCACCCACAGAGAGCUCUGGGGCUGCUGAGGAUUCUAGCUCUCUGCUGGGGGAGGAGACAGAUGCCACUGGGCUGAGCUGCUGGUUAGCUGGAGGAACACAGAUGGCAUGUUCAAGAGAGGGAUACUGCACUAAGGGUGAAAAACAUCUUCCUCAAAUGUCCAAGAAUGAAUGCUAAGUUCUCUCUGCAAGGAUGGAAGAAGAGUCAAGAAAGCAAUUCUAGAAUGUUCUUAAAAGUCCUCAGUUUGAACAUUAUUUCUCCACAGCAAUAUGGGGCUUUGCCCCAUCUCCUCCGCUUUCCACCUCAAGCCCAAUAAUGGAUCUCCAUAUUAUUUGAGUAGCCACAAUCAUUUUUAAAAUAUACAGAUCUGAAAACAGCAUGGUGGUACUUGCCUGCAGUCAUUACACUCACCAGGCUAACACAAAAGAAUUAGGAGUUCACGGCCAACCCUGGCUCAACAACUGCCCCCCCCUC